CCUACGGGAGGCAGCAGUGGGGGAUAUUGCACAAUGGGGGAAACCCUGAUGCAGCGACGCCGCGGGGGUGAAGAAGCGCCUCGGCGCGUAAAGCCCUGUCAGCAGGGAAGAAAAUGACGGUACCUGAAGAAGAAGCCCCGGCUAACUACGUGCCAGCAGCCGCGGUAAUACGGAGGGGGCAAGCGUUAUCCGGAUUUACUGGGUGUAAAGGGGGCGCAGACGGCGAUGCAAGCCAGGAGUGAAAGCCCGGGGCCCAACCCCGGGACUGCUCUUGGAACUGCGUGGCUAGAGUGCAGGAGGGGCAGGCGGAAUUCCUGGUGUAGCGGUGAAAUGCGUAGAUAUCAGGAGGAACACCGGUGGCGAAGGCGGCCUGCUGGACUGCAACUGACGUUGAGGCCCGAAAGCGUGGGGAGCAAACAGGAUUAGGUACCCCAGUAGUC
rnacentral:rRNA from 1 species